rnacentral:rRNA from 1 species
CAUCCUCCAAGGCUAAAUACUCCUGACUGACCGAUAGUGAACCAGUACCGUGAGGGAAAGGCGAAAAGAACCCCGGCGAGGGGAGUGAAAAAGAACCUGAAACCGUGUACGUACAAGCAGUGGGAGCCCCACCACCAAAGCAUUCUCUGGUGUUGAAGGCCCUGCAAAGCAGCAUCGCGGUGGCGGAGCGUCGUUUGCGACGCCCAACACACAAAACAAGCGGUGAGUGCUUUGGGGUGGGGUGACUGCGUACCUUUUGUAUAAUGGGUCAGCGACUUAUAUUCUGUAGCAAGGUUAACCGUAUAGGGGAGCCGGAGGGAAACCGAGUCUUAACUGGGCGUUAAGUUGCAGGGUAUAGACCCGAAACCCGGUGAUCUAGCCAUGGGCAGGUUGAAGGUUGGGUAACACUAACUGGAGGACCGAACCGACUAAUGUUGAAAAAUUAGCGGAUGACCUGUGGCUGGGGGUGAAAGGCCAAUCAAACCGGGAGAUAGCUGGUUCUCCCCGAAAGCUAUUUAGGUAGCGCCUCGUGAACUCAUCUUCGGGGGUAGAGCACUGUUUCGGCUAGGGGGUCAUCCCGACUUACCAACCCGAUGCAAACUGCGAAUACCGAAGAAUGUUAUCACGGGAGACACACGGCGGGUGCUAACGUCCGUCGUGAAGAGGGAAACAACCCAGACCGCCAGCUAAGGUCCCAAAGUCACAGUUAAGUGGGAAACGAUGUGGGAAGGCUCAGACAGCCAGGAUGUUGGCUUAGAAGCAGCCAUCAUUUAAAGAAAGCGUAAUAGCUCACUGGUCGAGUCGGCCUGCGCGGAAGAUGUAACGGGGCUAAACUGUGCACCGAAGCUGCGGCAGCGACGCUUAUGCGUUGUUGGGUAGGGGAGCGUUCUGUAAGCCUGCGAAGGUGUCCUGUGAGGGAUGCUGGAGGUAUCAGAAGUGCGAAUGCUGACAUAAGUAACGAUAAUGCGGGUGAAAAGCCCGCUCGCCGGAAGACCAAGGGUUCCUGUCCAACGUUAAUCGGGGCAGGGUGAGUCGACCCCUAAGGCGAGGCCGAAAGGCGUAGUCGAUGGGAAACGGGUUAAUAUUCCCGUA